rnacentral:rRNA from 1 species
ACACAUGCAGUCGAACGCUGAAGCUCCAGCUUGCUGGGGUGGAUGAGUGGCGAACGGGUGAGUAAUACGUGAGUAACCUGCCCUUGACUCUGGGAUAAGCCUGGGAAACCGGGUCUAAUACUGGAUACGACGUCCUACCGCAUGGUGGGGNGUGGAAAGGGUUUUACUGGUUUUGGAUGGGCUCACGGCCUAUCAGCUUGUUGGUGGGGUAAUGGCCUACCAAGGCGACGACGGGUAGCCGGCCUGAGAGGGUGACCGGCCACACUGGGACUGAGACACGGCCCAGACUCCUACGGGAGGCAGCAGUGGGGAAUAUUGCACAAUGGGCGCAAGCCUGAUGCAGCGACGCCGCGUGAGGGAUGACGGCCUUCGGGUUGUAAACCUCUUUCAGCAGGGAAGAAGCCACAAGUGACGGUACCUGCAGAAGAAGCGCCGGCUAACUACGUGCCAGCAGCCGCGGUAAUACGUAGGGCGCAAGCGUUGUCCGGAAUUAUUGGGCGUAAAGAGCUCGUAGGCGGUUUGUCGCGUCUGCUGUGAAAGCCCGGGGCUCAACCCCGGGUCUGCAGUGGGUACGGGCAGACUAGAGUGCAGUAGGGGAGACUGGAAUUCCUGGUGUAGCGGUGAAAUGCGCAGAUAUCAGGAGGAACACCGAUGGCGAAGGCAGGUCUCUGGGCUGUUACUGACGCUGA